UUAUGCAUGGAGUCAUAAAGUAGGUCACACACGUUGCAUGCUCUGCUCUGCGUCUGGCCUUUCUCAUAGGCCGUGCUUUCAAGGUUCAGCCAGGUGGUUCGCUGCAAGGAUAGCAGAGGUAUCCUGGACUACAGAGCAACACCCUUUCUCGUGCCUGGAGGACCAGAAGUUCAAGGUCAUCAUUGACUGCACCGUGGUUUGGAUGCCUUUUUGAGGCCCACCUGUCUGCCCUUAGUCCUUCUUGUUGUGGUUCUCCAAGUCAGCAGGAGGUAGUUCAAGAAAGGGCCCAAACAAAGCCUGGCUGUGUCGUGUUCCCCACUGAGCCUCAGUUUCCCCUUCUACAGGGCACUCUCUGGACACCUCUAAAGCCACACUGUGUGCACCUGCCUCCUAGUCCCCCAGCCCACUACCAUCCCAACUCACAGCUCUUGUUCACUGCACAGGCUCUGACACGCAGUGAGCACACACAAGAUGCUUGCUGGGAGCAGCUGUGAUGACGGGGACAGGUGGAUGGUGUCCUCAUCAGCUUCCUGCCCAGCCGCUCGGGAACACAAAUGCCAGCACCCAGGCUCCUGAGGCCAUAGCGCGUUCCUCAAAGAGCUCCUAGAACUGUGGCUCCCUAAAAGCCAAAGGACACACAUUAAACAUCGUGGGAGGACCUGGUACCCCACAGAGACUACAGGCUUGGCCACUGUUGCCCAUGUACCAGUAGGCUACCGGACUUGUGGUUUCUGGGAGACAGCAUGUAAAAUUUACUUCCACGGAAAAUGUUGGUGUUGAAUGAGACCUUCACACCUGUGUGUGCACGGUGGCUUCUCAGUGACAGCUGGUGGCAGCAGCUACAAGACUGGCUCUAGGAUCUCCAUCUCCCAAGCCAUUGCAGCUGUUGGACAUCAAGGGACCCACGUGGACCCCACAGUGCAAAAGCCAGAUCCUGUGGGCUCAUGCUGGGGUCACGUGAGGUCACACCCUCAAAGGAGGAUGUACUGUCUGCAAGCUCUGCUGAGUGGAGACCCCAGCCUGGAGCCCCAAGUGACCUGGCAGUGAACUAACAAGCCCAGGCCAGCACCAAGCACCUGGGGUCUGGCAGGGCCUUCUGGAGGGCAGCCUGUUGCGCCAUGUGCCAGAGGGAAUGUCUGCCCCAGCUGUAGGCUGGCCUGUGUAUCUCCAGGAUGAAGCUCAACUCCUGAGUCAAGACAUUCAGACCUGCUCUCACCCCUUGUAUGGUAGACAGCUGCCACUCUAUCAGAUCGAAAUUCUUGUUUGCAACAUCACAGCUAUGACACAUCCGUCCAAUUUUAGCAUAGAGUCCAACCAGUGCAGGCUCUCCCCAAGGAGCCAGCAGCUGGAGUGCCCCAAGGCAACUUAAGCAAGGGGAAACCAAUUUUCAUUUUUACCCAAGUACCUACGCCACACCCAUUUUGCUGUGAUCUGCUAGACUUAACUAGUCAUUCAUGGGGCCUGUGAGGCUCAAAGAGGACAUACUUCCCUGGAGUCUUGAACUCAUCCUCCUGCAUCGCCCCUAAGGAGGAGGGCUACAGGUGUGUACAACCACAACCAGCCACUUUGCUUUUCCCAGGGUCUCUAGGUCAAAUUCCCCGCCUGAAGAGCCUUUAACAGCUAUGUUUCGGCUUGUAGUGGAGAGCAGCCCUUUAAUCCCAGCACCUAGGAGCAGAGGCAGGAGAAUUGGAGAGUUGGAGGCCGGCCUGCUCUGCAGAGUGAGUUCCAGGACAGCCAGGGUUAUGAAAUAGCCAGACCCUGCCUCACUGUGCCUGACAUUGCAUCUCACCAAGUAUCGAGAGGUCUGUCCCUCAUGCACAGUGAGGGAAGAGCCUAAACUUGGCUGGAGAACCCUGAAUGUUUUCCUAAGAGGUAAAGUGCUGGUUUCAGCCAUCAGGCAGGCCCCACUGAAUAGGCUGAAGAAGGGCACAGCCUGCCCUGUAUCAAAGCAUACUUUUUUAUUAUAGUAGACUCGGACGACGACAGAACGUUGCUUAUGGACAGUCAAGCUUGACUUACAGGGUGCCUACCGGAGAGCUAGUUUGCCCCAGAUAGAUCAAAGGCCCCACCAGCCACUCUUUAGACCUCAUAGCUGCUGCUUCAGAAGGUGGAGCCACACACGUGCUUAAAAUAAAACCACCGAGCUCU
rnacentral:lncRNA from 1 species